rnacentral:misc_RNA from 1 species
GCUUCUCUCACAAUCUUCACUGAAGUCCACUCUGUACGCACUGUGGCCAGGGACAAUGAUGGAGUGUGAUUUUGCUAAUAACCCAUGUACUUCAACUCCACCGUCACCUUCAUCACCACCGUCGCCGGCGCUGCUACCAUUUUCUGCACCCGCAACCCCUCAAAGAAUAUCAGGAAAUGAGUGUUUUAGUUGUAGAAGGAAAGGCCAUUGGGCCAAAGAAUGCCCCAACAAAACGCCCAAGAAGUCACAGCCCUUCAGCCCUGGAUCAAAUUCCACGAAUGGUUCUGGUUUGCCACCGAUUCGCUGUCCUUGUGGUCGAGGCACUUGCCAAAUUCUCACCUCCAAAACGGAGAAAAAUCCUGAGAGGAAGUUCUAUAGGUGCCCUGGUGAUAGAUCAACGGUUGAUGGCUACUGUAACUUCUUUAAAUGGUGCGAUGAAUUAAGUGAUAGAGCUCCUAUGUGCCCUUGUGGUGUUGGAAUUUGUAGUCUGAAUCUGAGUAGAGGAUCUACAGGCCCCAAUGGAGAAGAAUGGUACUUUGCUUGCCGGAUUAAGAAGAAUCAUGGAGCUUGUAAUUUCUUCCAGUGGGUAGAUUCUGAAGUAAAUACAAUGAUGAAAAGGUAUGUGGGGGCUGCAAUUAAUGACUUAGACAAUAAAGAGGUGAGUUCUAACAUAGUGUCAGAGUCACCUGUUGUCGAGGGUGAUGAAAAUACCCCAAAUCAGCCAAUCUUCGUUAUAUCUUCAGAGCAAGAUGAAGUUCCCAAUAGGGACCUCAUCAUGCAAGAGGUCGAGUCAGAGGUUCGACAUCAAGUUUUCCAUCCAAUCCAUCAAACAGAGAUUCAUUGCCUGAAAGAGUUAAGCAGGCAAAUUUCUGUCGCAGGGAGUAUCAUAACUCAAGAUGUUGUGUAUCAGGUUUUAGGUUUUCAUGGCUAUGGUUGGUUGGGUCGGCUUGCUUUCCGUCCAUCUCGGUGCAUGAAAGGUCUUCCUGUCUUGCCUAUCUUUUGUUGUAAGCAUGGCUCCUUUAAUUUGUUUGUUUACCUUGUUCCUUGUCUUGGGUUUUAACACAUGCAUCUUUUUGCAGGUAUUUUCCUUUCCUUUGAUUCUGUUACCAUUUCAGAAGAUGUAAAUACAUCUGAAAUUGAAGGAUCAUUUCUCUUACCAGAUAAUGCUUCAAAUACUGCAACUGAUAUGCCACUGUCUCCAACUGCUGUGCGGGAUGCCCAGCUUCUAGGUGGUGCUUUGCAAGAGGCUUCAGGGCUCAAUGAGCCUUCUGGUAUAACACAGGACGAAUCAAAGUCCAUCUUGAAGGAAUAUGGGCUAGCUCUUCUAAAUACUAUCGAGUCUAUGAGUCCAGUCCGUCAUGGAGCAAUGGCAAAGUUGGCAGAAGCCACUUUGAAGACGUUACAGGAUCUUUCCAUUGAAUUUGGUCCCAUUGGAGAGGGGGUGAAGACAUAUAUUCACAGCAUAUCAAGAGUUGCCUCAAUUGAACGGUCUAUAUACAAAGGCCUCACCCCUCAAGAACUACUCAAGCUUUUGAACAGUGAGCAAGUUCAGUUCGAGAACGUUUCUCGUCGCCAUGCUGAGGCAGUGGCUGCUUACUGUGCUUCAAAUAAUCACUUUCAGUCACUUCGCAUAGAAGUUUCAAGUGUCAAGGACAUGCUUCUUCAUCUUGAGAAACGAUUGUUUUCUUGUGAGGCAGAGACAUUGGCACUCAAAACUCGCGUAGAUGAAAUUUCUAAGGAUAUGUUAGAGUCAAAGAGAAGUAUGGAGGCUGCAUCUGAGAAGAUGGAAGAAGCUUUAGAACUGGAACGGCAGAGAGACACUGUGAUUGGUGAGGCAAAGGCAGCAUUGGAGACUGCAAGGUUUUGGCUGGAACAGUGAUAUAGUAAGUAAUGAUUCAGUAUCUGGUUAUCUAAACUAUUUAUGUAAAAUAAGUCUGUAUGUCAACUAUAUGCAGAAUAUGUUUAUAUGUUAUGUAAAUUAUGUAGUGUUGUGAAUUGCAGGAUUUAUGCAUACCAUAAUCUUCCUCUCCCUCUCCAUGCAUUAAGAUUAUAGAAAAGGCAUAUUUUAAUUAUUGGACUGACCUAUUAGACGCUGCUGAAAAUGCCUUGGCAAAGUUGCUUUUAUAAUUUGCAUAUUGUGUUUUACAGACAUACAUGAUUCAGUAUGCACAUUAAAGUGAUUGGGGUUCCUAAAAUUUUGUCAGUUCUCUGUUGUCAAUUUUAAUAUAAUUUUUUU